AUUGAACGCUGGCGGCAGGCCUAACACAUGCAAGUCGAACGGUAACAGGAAACAGCUUGCUGUUUCGCUGACGAGUGGCGGACGGGUGAGUAAUGUCUGGGAAACUGCCUGAUGGAGGGGGAUAACUACUGGAAACGGUAGCUAAUACCGCAUAACGUCGCAAGACCAAAGAGGGGGACCUUCGGGCCUCUUGCCAUCGGAUGUGCCCAGAUGGGAUUAGCUAGUAGGUGGGGUAACGGCUCACCUAGGCGACGAUCCCUAGCUGGGCUGAGAUGAUGAGCAGCCACACUGGAACUGAGACACGGUCCAGACGCAUACGGGAGGCAUCAGUGGGGAAUAUUGCACAAUGGGCGCAAGCCUGAUGCAGCCAUGCCGCGUGUAUGAAGAAGGCCUUCGGGUUGUAAAGUACUUUCAGCGGGGAGGAAGGGAGUAAAGUUAAUACCUUUGCUCAUUGACGUUACCCGCAGAAGAAGCACCGGCUAACUCCGUGCCAGCCGCCGCGGUAA
rnacentral:rRNA from 1 species